UACGUAGGGAGCAAGCGUUGUCCGGAUUUAUUGGGCGUAAAGAGCGUGUAGGCGGUUAGGUAGGUCCGUUGUGAAAACUCGAGGCUCAACCUCGAGACGCCGAUGGAAACCAUCUGACUAGAGUCCGGAAGAGGAGAGUGGAAUUCCUGGUGUAGCGGUGAAAUGCGCAGAUAUCAGGAAGAACACCCGUGGCUAAGGCGGCUCUCUAGUACGUGACUGACGCUGAGACGCGAAAGCGUGGGGAGCGAACAGG
rnacentral:rRNA from 1 species